rnacentral:rRNA from 2 species
CGUACCUUUUGUAUAAUGGGUCAGCGACUUAUAUUCUGUAGCAAGGUUAACCGUAUAGGGGAGCCGUAGGGAAACCGAGUCUUAACCGGGCGUUAAGUUGCAGGGUAUAGACCCGAAACCCGGUGAUCUAGCCAUGGGCAGGUUGAAGGUUGGGUAACACUAACUGGAGGACCGAACCGACUAAUGUUGAAAAAUUAGCGGAUGACCUGUGGCUGGGGGUGAAAGGCCAAUCAAACCGGGAGAUAGCUGGUUCUCCCCGAAAGCUAUUUAGGUAGCGCCUCGUGAAUUCAUCUCCGGGGGUAGAGCACUGUUUCGGCUAGGGGGCCAUCCCGGCUUACCAACCCGAUGCAAACUGCGAAUACCGGAGAAUGUUAUCACGGGAGACACACGGCGGGUGCUAACGUCCGUCGUGAAGAGGGAAACAACCCAGACCGCCAGCUAAGGUCCCAAAGUCAUGGUUAAGUGGGAAACGAUGUGGGAAGGCCCAGACAGCCAGGAUGUUGGCUUAGAAGCAGCCAUCAUUUAAAGAAAGCGUAAUAGCUCACUGGUCGAGUCGGCCUGCGCGGAAGAUGUAACGGGGCUAAACCAU